GCUCGCAUUUGCUGCUGGGAAACUUGUCUUUGUUGUUUUCCUUUUUCCAUUUCAUCCUCCUGUUCUGGAACCAGAUUUUGACCUGCCUUUCUGUCAAUCCCAGGGCAUGCGAGACCUCGAUCCUCCGUUUGCGGGUCAGAAAGAAGCGCUUUCCCGGAACUUCUCUCCCUCCACGAGCAAUAAAACGUCAAACGAAUUUAGAGGCGGAAUUACCUCUCGCUGAGCCCACGGCAGAAGGAGCGGAGCGACGAAGCCGAGGUGAUGCCAACGGGGUGGGGUGUCCCCGUGUUACUUUGGGAUUUCUAAUACCCCUGUGCACAGAGGUAUAAAGCAGAGACCGUCAAACCGAGCGUGCCCGCGCUGCCCCAAGGCUGAUGCGAGGAUGCAAAGACGAAAAGCUUCCAAACGAACGAAGAAACAAGCAAGCAAGCGAGCUGCAGCCCGGAAAGGGAAUCAGAGACGAACGAUCUCCGACUUAAAACAGUAAAAAAUAGGGAGAGAAAGGAGAGAAAAAAAAAAAUGUAGAAAAACUCAUCGAGGCUGCAAGGGACCGAGUAAGCACUCGCUGCACCGGAAUUAUUUCCAUUUGUCUCUCGGAUCUUUUUUUUAUUCUUUUAACCUAAGCAAAAAUUGAUUCUGAUAAUACACUUAAUGAGGCACUAAAGAAGGCGGAAAAACACCAAGAAAAUAUUUCUGGAAUUUGAGACGAAGCGGUAUAACACGGUGACAAAUGGGUGCUGCUGUUCUCAGAUCGAUUUUUAUUCUGGAGCAUUAAACAUCGGUGGAAAAUGCAUCCGGGCUGAUGCUACGGAUGAUAUUUAUAUAUUUUUUCCCCAAUAUUUUAAGGUGUAUUUCCUAAAAAUCAACAUUAAAUAAGGAGGAAAAACCCAAA